CACAGCCUGGCGGCGCUGUGACAGUUUAUUCUCAUCAGGUACAUGUACAUGGUGAUGCAAGAAGUCAUCCAUUAUCAUCACGUACAUGUACCUGAUUUUGCGGGAAUGGGGUUAGAAUAAAGUAGAAGCUCACGACCACUUAAAAAUGACUGGGGAUGAUAGACCGGAAGGCAUCUGAACAGCAGCUUUGGGGAGCAAUGACAAGUAACUAAGAAGAACACACCACCUGGAAUAAUGAAGUGAGGACCGAGAAAACAUUUGCUUUCUUGUAUACUACUCAGAAUGUCAUCUGCCUCCCCUUCAUCCUAACUUGCUCUUCUCCUGGUCCUACGCUUUUCCUGCCCACCCUCCUGCCAGCAUUGAGGCUCCAUUACAAGGAAUUCAUAUCAUUCCCUCAAGACAAGAUACAGGACAAAUCACUGACAAUUCCUCAUACCAGAGAGCACGAUUUCUUAGUCGAAUGCAUAUGACUGUCCCGUAUUUCCAUGGAAACGGCUAAAGCCAUUAUUGUAUAUUAUAACAUUCAAUGUUCGUACUGAGGUGAAUGAAUACAAUCUGCGCACAUUGCUGCAGGGAAAACUUGGCUAUAUAAAUAACUAGAAAUACAUAAAGAAUACGUUUCUGUGGACAGAAGUGUAGAUUAGAGCUGGGCCGUAUGAGCAAAUAUGUGUAUCACGGUAUUUUUGUAACUUA